rnacentral:rRNA from 1 species
UAAACUGGGAUUAGAUACCCCAUUAUUUUAAAUUGUAAAUUGAAUAGUCUACCUAAGUAUUAUGAAUAUUAAUUUAAAAUUUAAAGGACUUGGCGGUGCCUUAGACUUCUUAGGGGAACCUGUUUUUUAAUCGAUGGUCCUCGUUUUACCUUGCCUUUACUUUGUUUACAGUUUGUAUACCGUCGUCGUCAGUUAACUUUAAAGAAAAUAAAAGUUGUCUUUAAAAAUUUUAGUUUUAGAUGUCAGAUCAAGGUGCAGCUUAUAGAGAGGUUAAUAUGGGUUACAAUUAUUUAAUUAUAUAGGAUAGUUUUGUGAAAUUAUUAUUUGAAAAAGGACUUAAAAGUAAUUUAAUUUAGAUAUAUUUAAUGAAUAUAGCUCUUGGGUGUGUACACACCGCCCGUCACCCUCA